rnacentral:rRNA from 1 species
AGCGAACGCUGGCGGCAGGCCUAACACAUGCAAGUCGAACGAAGUCUUCGGACUUAGUGGCGAACGGGUGAGUAACACGUGGGAACGUGCCUUUAGGUUCGGAAUAACUCAGGGAAACUUGCGCUAAUACCGAAUGUGCCCUUCGGGGGAAAGAUUUAUCGCCUUUAGAGCGGCCCGCGUCUGAUUAGCUAGUUGGUGAGGUAAAGGCUCACCAAGGCUACGAUCAGUAGCUGGUCUGAGAGGAUGACCAGCCACAUUGGGACUGAGACACGGCCCAAACUCCUACGGGAGGCAGCAGUGGGGAAUCUUGCGCAAUGGGCGAAAGCCUGACGCAGCCAUGCCGCGUGGAUGAUGAAGGUCUUAGGAUUGUAAAAUCCUUUCACCGGUGAAGAUAAUGACUGUAGCCGGAGAAGAAGCCCCGGCUAACUUCGUGCCAGCCGCCGCAGUAACAC